ensembl:lncRNA
AGAUUUUUCAACUCACUCCCAAAAUACUAACGUCACAAAAUGCAUCUUUUUAUGCUGAUCUUUGGGACUGUGUUCUUCCCUAAAGCCUGCACACUGGUAUGUUAUGAGUGUAUACCAGGGAACACUGACAGCUUGUCUUCUCCAAAUGGGACAAAGUGUCUCAGAUGUGACAAACAAGACUGCUUCAAAACUGUAAAGUGCAAUGAAAAUGAGAACUACUGCUUCUAUGGAAAAGUGAAUGCACUUGGGGCAAAGGCAUUUGGAAAAGGCUGCGCCACCAAGCAUCAGUGUUCGAACAGGCAAACGAUACAGAUCCCAAAUUUCUUUGGGGAUUACAUUAGCUGCUGCCUGGGUGACGUCUGCAACAGUACCAGCAGUCCACAUGCCUCCCUCCUGCUCUUGGUUUUACAGCUGAUUUCUUGGAUCUUUUCCCCUUAGCUGGACACUACUAAACAGUUUUUCCUCAUCUACACAGGGCUUCCUCCCAUUUCCCCAGAGCCCAGAGAAAAUAUGAUGUUUCAUGACCAAAACAUUAAAUAUUUUUUUCACUUUGUGGACAUAGAUCAGCUCAGAGUUUGUCAAGGAGUAUUUACAGUACAAAGC